AUCGCUUCUCGGCCUUUUGGCUAAGAUCAAGUGUAGUAUUCAAUAGGUCACAAAGGACAAUGUAAAUGGGCUUAUCCAAAGAUCACCAGCAGAUGGCAGUCUAGCAUAUUUAUUUUUACUUAGUGUUUUUGAGACAAGUCUCAAAACUUGUCUCUCUAUAGAUAAGACUAGUCUGAA
rnacentral:snRNA from 1 species